UACGGAGGGUGCGAGCGUUGUCCGGAAUCACUGGGCGUAAAGGGCGCGUAGGCGGCCUGAUAAGUAGGGGGUGAAAUCCUGCGGCUUAACCGCAGGGCUGCCUUCUAAACUGUCGGGCUCGAGCACAGUAGAGGCAGGUGGAAUUCCCGGUGUAGCGGUGGAAUGCGUAGAGAUCGGGAAAAACAUCAGUGGCGAAGGCGGCCUGCUGGGCUGUUGCUGACGCUGAGGCGCGACAGCGUGGGGAGCAAACAGG
rnacentral:rRNA from 1 species